rnacentral:lncRNA from 1 species
AAUGGCCGAUAUCAAACUCGAGACGAUUAACGGCAGGAUCAAGCUCUUGAGCAUCCGAAGGAAUAGGUCGCCGAGUUAACAACACGAGGAAAAGGAGCGAUAAAAUACCAAACUAACGAAACCUUCGGAGCGAACGAGUAACGAUGGAGAACACGAUAGUAGGAACGCGACGUGGGUGUUCGUCAUGGAUCGUUUCGUGGAUGUUUUCAUUAUUUCCAUCUCUCAUACCGAAGUUCCGGCGCGAACCUGCGCCGAUACGAAUGUCUGCACGGGGAAGAGGGAAGGAAGAUCUUGGCCUACUUCUGCGUCCUUACGGACUGACCGAUUUCGCAAUGUGAUGUUCAUCACAGGAUUAUAAAGUUCUGCAAUGAAUGAGAACUUCGAGGUAAACGAACGACGGCGACGUAUUAAUUGUCCCAGUUAAUCCGUCAAUAGCGCGACACUUGGAUGCAUAACGUCAUUCGCAGAUGCCGGAUGACACGUUGGUCUCACGUGAUCGUUGAAAAACAAUCCGGACAGAUGGGAAAAUAUCGUCCAUGAGAAUUAAUACCGGACAAUAACGAUAAAACCCAUGCCGUCCGUUUCCGGCGAUUCUAUAAUAUGUAUACUUUUGCAUUGUUCUUUUUCGCGCAGUUUUAUAUUACAGUUAAUCGACGGCGCUCACAAAUUGCACUGAGUACCGAGUUAAAGGGUAUCACCUUGCAGUGCUCGUCUCGAAUAACGUGUGCAAUUGGAACCUUUUUAAUUUAACGAGUGACGGAAAUAAAAAUUUUUAUGGUCUCUUGAACACCAAAUGGUACUAUAUAUGUAUUUCGAGUAAGACUUGAAAUCCGCGAUCGGCUGGCAGAGCCAAGAAUAUUUGCGAAGACUAUGCUAUUAAAGUGACCGCAACCGAUUAAAAUGAAUUAGAAUACGCGAAAAGAUUAGGCGUGGUUAAAAGUGGGAAUAAUAAGUAGACGCAAUUUGCUAGAAGAGAUUAGCGUGAAAGAGAGGAUUAAGCGUAUAGUUAGAAAUGGGAAUAAUAGACCCAUUACGCCGCAGCUCUCACGCUCUCAUUUUUAUUUGUCCCGAAUAUAAAGCGGAGCAAUGAACGGAUAAAUAAAUCAAUAAAAUAAAUUAAUUAAUUAAUUGAAUUUGAAUCGCAGAAUAGCACGUGGUAUUGUGCUAAACAUUCAAUGCCACAUCGUUGGCUCGAGUAAAAGUUCCAAAAUUAUCUUCGGCAAACAACUUGUUGAAUACGCUUACGUAAGAAAUUGCCCACUGAUGCAAGAUUUACGAUACAGAUAAAUCUCUUUUCUUUUCUUUCUCUCUCUCUCUCUCUUAUUUAUUUUGAAAAUCCUACGUCAUUGGACGUGAGUCUAAAAGGAUUGUUUAUAGUACUUGUAAUCUCUCUUGAUGCUUAAUAUUUCAUUCAGGAAAAAUGCACAGGGACAGGAAAAGAUAUGUACAAAGAUAGAAUUUGUUGCUUUGCAAAUAUUUGCCUCGAAUUUUGACGUCUCGGUAAGAUUAUUUCAAGUACGCCGUAACUGUCGUGCAAAAAGCUUGAGUGCGUGUCAGAAUCGCGUCUGAUUCUAAUUAUAAGAUAUUAUACAGUCAACAGAUAAAAACCUUCAUAAAAACGCA